UACGGAAGGGGCAAGCGUUGUUCGGAAUCAUUGGGCGUAAAGAGCGUGUAGGCGGCCAGACAGGUCCGUUGUGAAAACUCGAGGCUCAACCUCGAGAUGUCGAUGGAAACCGUCUGGCUAGAGUCCGGAAGAGGAGUGUGGAAUUCCUGGUGUAGCGGUGAAAUGCGCAGAUAUCAGGAAGAACACCAAUGGCGAAGGCAGCUCUCUGGGACGGUACUGACGCUGAGACGCGAAAGCGUGGGGAGCGAACAGG
rnacentral:rRNA from 1 species